UGGUGCGCUCGGAGGGACUCGAACCCCCGACACCUUGGUUCGAAGCCAAGUACUCUAUCCAGCUGAGCUACGAGCGC
rnacentral:tRNA from 2 species